GCCCUUCUGAAGGCAUGUACAAACCCGGGCGGACAGAGCUCACCCCCAUGGGACUGUUCAUCAACACAACCGGGCACACUCCAACUACAGGGCUGGGAUGAUCCUGGACAAUGGAGUCAAAACCACUGAAGCCAACAACAAGGACAAGCGGCCCUACCUGUCUCUGGUGGGAUCCAGGUAUGGCCCUCACCAAGAUGCAGACCCCUUGAAACCUCGGGUCCCAGCUCGGAUCCACCGCUUCAUCGC